UGUGGACCUGUCCCACAACAUCGUGUCAGAGGUUCAUAAGUGUUUAUUGCUUAAAAGGCAUUUUUAAGCAGACUUGGGCUCCAUUUUUUUUUUAUUUUUUUUUUAUAAAUGGCAUCUGCCCUGCAUCCCCAUGGUUUGGAGAGGUUGUUUUCCCAGUGGUGCACACUGUCUUCCCAUCAAGGUGCUUUAAAUGCUGAACAGACAAAUGUGGGAGGGAAACAAGCAAUGCUGAAAGGUCACUUGGAGAAAGUCUGCUCUAGGAUAUGGAGCAGUUGUCUCUGAUCUCUCCAGCUAUUACCUCAGUCCUCUGCCAUGCUGCUUUUUAUAUCAUAGACCACAUCACGAAACACAUGAAACACAAAAGCGUAUGGAAUUUUGCUGCUGACUUCCAAUGGCUAGUCAAAGCCUAAACAAGCAUGGGCAGCUUAUUUUCCACUUCCCAGUCCCCAGGCCCCAUCCAUCACAGAGCUGUGCACCUCCUAAUGGCCUGCGUUUCUGGAGGAAAGCAGCUGUUAGAGCACUCGGCAUUGCUGUGUUCAAUCAUAACAUCAGAAAAGUGCAUAAAAUAAUGAAAGCAAACUUGCCAUUGUCUGAAAAAGAAAGGCUCCUAUCAUGGAAAGCCAUGCUUUCCACAGACAUUACUGUAUUCCUUUUUCCGCUUGACAGUUUAUUCAAGUAUCAAAGGCUCAAGUCUCCUGAUAAUUUCUUCUGGUCAGAGAACAAGCAUCUGCUCUCUCUGAUUGCAGGUCACUUCUCUCAUGCAAAACUUGAUUGAGACAUGCAUGUCAAGGUCAGAAAUGAGUCUGAGCUCAUACAUUGUUUGCCUAAAAAAAACAAGAAGUAGAAAAAGAGAUAAUAACAAGCCUUUAAAAUGGACUUUGGUAAUGUGCUUUUGUUGUGAGUAUGAUGUAAAGAAGAGUUGAUUGCUGCAUUCUAAGUUAUUAAUUUCUCAUUAGUUGUUAGGUUUAAACCGUUUGGUGGAAAAGGAUGAUGAAAUUUGGAUGGAAAUCAGCCUAUUUGGAAAAGCAGGAAGACUAGAUGUUUAGAAAGAGGAAGGUGAAAAUGAUGUGAUUGGAGCAUAAAAAUAGAGCAUUCCAACCAAAAUAAAGUGUGCAACUAUCAGUAAAACCCCGGGCUGACCACUGGUCAAGAACAGCUUUGCAUAAACAUCAGCUACCUUCAGAAUUCUUGGAGGUGAAAUGUAUGUGAAAAGUCUUGGCCUCUGGGGGUGUAAAAACAGAAGUAAUGCUAGUUUACUCAUCUGCUGUUUGCAAGACUGUGAAAAGAAACCCGUGCAGCUCAUAAAGAAUCAUCACCUGCCUUGCAAAAUAUCCAGGUCUGAUGUGCUUGCUAGGUGGAGUGUUUUCUCUCCAUCUUUCAGUCUUUCACCCCUGCAAGCUCUUCCACAGUCUUUUCCAAUUACAAGCUUCCCCCUGAAAAAGCACACAACCGGCCUUCCACGUCAAACUGGCAAUAAAGCUCUUGGGGAAACAAUUUCCAGUGUGACAUUCGAAAGGGAAAUUCUGCCUGGAAGGAAGCACUGUUAGGAAGAGCAUGGGCUGAACUCCAUCCUCUUUCAUCUGGAUCCUGGAGGCGUUCUCACCCCCGCUCCCUCCACCUCCACACCCAAUGUCCUUGCCAAGUGCAUUGGGAAGAAGCUCUGAUCUGGAGCACAACAGCACACACCCUGAAGCUAGCUAGCUUGAGAUACUACUGAUGAGCUGCCUAAGUGCUUCUCUUCUGUUCCAGCCCAAGAUUUGAGGUUCAUUCCCCCUGUCCUAGCCAAGCAGAGAUUCACAGGCAGAAGAGGGUCUCACUGGUUGGACGACGACGAUGAUGAUGAGCUACUCCAGGAGGCCAUGGGGCUUGUCCCCAUGCACCCCCUGAACCCUGAGUGUCUGUAGCAGCAGAGCUAGCCACAGUCUGCCUGUCUGAGAGAUCCAGCAGAAAUAACGUGCCCUGUGGGAAUAGGUUGCCUCACCCAGGGCCUGAUGGCACGUGUUCUGCCGUUAGCCCAGUGCCUGGUCUAGCUGCAAGCCGAGACCUGCCGUGGUUAAUGCGCU